CGUCAGUUAGCUCAGUGGUUUAGAGCAGUCGCCCGGCAAGCGAAAGAUCCGGGUUCGAUUCCCGGUCUAGUGA
rnacentral:tRNA from 1 species